UAUGCAAAGGUUUCCAUCAAAAAAAUAUAUAUACACACACAUGCAAAGGUCAUAAAUGUACAUUUUUCUUUUUGUCAAAUACUGUGCGGUGGGUUUUCAAGAAAUACAAUUUCAAACAUUUUGUAAUAAAAGCCUUUCAUUUUUUUUUUCAACGUGGGCUUUGAAUUUAAAUGAUUAAAAGAUAGAAAGGCUGGUCCAGCCCAUUAAUAUACAUACUAACCAGCUAAACCCUAAAAUUAUCUUAAUGUACUCAUUCCUAUUCAGCUUCUCUAUGCUGCCGCCAAACCAGAGAACUUCUCUGUGAACGCAAACAAGGAGCAUGGUGAAUCAAAGCAUGUAUGGCCGCACACCGGGUCACUCUUCUCCUCCCUUUCUCCGCCCUUGCGCAUAAAAAUGCCCCUCCAACCCUCGAAAGUACCCUUGCUGCUACACGGCUAGGCGUCUUGGAGCCCUGGUGAAGGCUGAAGAGUGAAGAAGCCUACACGGAACACGGCGGCGAUGUUGGAUUGCAAGGAAGAAUGGGUUUUCAGUUUAAGAAACCCUACACAAAAAGUCAGAAACGACGCAGUUCUGUAUUUCAGUUUUUUUCUUUUACAUAGCGAACCGGUCCAACCGUAAGGACCGAGUCACCGGUUUUUUAUUGAACCGGCCGAUUUUUUCCGGUUCAUAGCAGGUGGAUUGCAUGGCCGAUCCGAAGCUCGGCUCGAACCGACUUAGGGUCCGGUUCCCGGCUCAACCGGUCGAACCGACCGGUUCGAGCCGAGUCUGAUAACACUGGGAUUAGAUAUUAGAUAUUAGAUAUUUUUACAUAAAAAGUUAAAAACAAACAAGUUUAUAAAUAAUAACAAGAAAUCGAGUUAAAAAAAUAAUAAUAACAACAAAUCCUCACAGUCUGAUCUUUAUUUAUGUUCACUAAAAAAUACUCGAUGAGAAGUUGAAAAUUAGUAGGAAAAAAAUAAGUUGAUUUUUUUUUAUUAGAUUGGGUUGUAUUGAGAUCUAAACUUGAGAGUUGUACUAUAAUUUUAAGUGCAAAAUGCUUUAAUUGCAUUAUUUUUAGUCUUUCAUCCAUUGCAAUUGUCUAAUUUGAGUCUCAUGUUUAAAAAAAGUACUUCCUUCCACCAAACGACCCCAAACCCCUUUGUCUCAACCCACCUCAAAAGACAAACUCCUUUGACCACCGUCCACCACCAUCACCUCCGACAGCCAAACCCAAGCCACCUCCUAAUCUCUCCCUUUUUGUCACACUUGCGCCAAAAACCCACCAAAGGAACCCAAGCCACCAGAAUUAGCUCUUUCCCUUCCCCAAAUGAACCCAACCGCCUUACCCCUCACUUCUUCAUCUCCUUCCCCAACAUCUGAACAUCAUAUCCUCAAUGACCACUUUCUCACCCAUCCGAGUCAAUCCUAGCUGCUUCGUCCUUGAAAAGAAACAACAAUUCCAAAUCGAAUUCCCACACCUCAAAACCAUAGAUUCAAAACAAUUGCGAAGAGGUAAAGAGAUAGAAUAGGAUGGGGACAUCUAUCUAUAAUCUAUCUAUCUAUAAUCUAUCUAUAAUCUAUCUAUCUAUCUAUCUAUAUCUAUCUAUAAUCUAUAAUAUAUAUAAAAGCAGAGUUUCUGCAGCCUUGAGGGCAAAUAAGUCGUUCAACAAUUCAAUGCACAAUAAUCUAAUUUUUGGCAUGGACAUUUUAGUAAAAGUACACAUUAUUUCCAACAGAUGAAAUUACAGCCGUCAGAUCAUUUCCAAUUUCUUGAGUUCUUGCAUUUCAGCCGUUUCUGAUUUCUAGCGACACUUUCUUCUCGCUUACGUUCCAGCCGUUUCAAGUGACAAUUUAUUGAGAGAAAAUUAGGGGUUUGAACGUUAUCUUAUAUUUAAUUGAUUUAGACAUGUAGUUCACCCACUGACAAUUUUCAUUCAGUACCUCCUAUCUGAUGCGAGAGAGAGGACAGGUAAAUUUUACAUUCUCAUUUCUUCUCCUGAUGUAUUUAUGUUUCCUAUCUGCCUAUCGGUUUCCAGAAACUUUGCCCCAGGAUCUAUUAGCUUUGCUCCAAGCGGUGGUGGGUUGAGGGUUUUGAUUUCGAACAGUGUGCGGAAGACCAUCCAGAACAUCAAGGAGACACGGGUAAGGGAGGAGGAUGAGAUUUAUGCAAUGCUCAAGUUCAGUAUUUUCCCCAGCGAGACUGCACAGAAGCUUCUCCUUCAUGGUAUCAUCAUUUACUUAUGUUUCUUUGUUGUCGGGUUAUUUCAAUCUUGAUUUUGAACUCUUCUGUUCAUUUUUUAGCCACCAGUCCUGAAGAUACUAUGAAGCAGUGUAAGUCUUUGUUCCAAGUAUUUUCCACAGCUACGUGUUACUGAGAAGAGAUGAGAGCAAUUGUACAAAUGACGCUUAUACUCGGAAGCAAGAGGUACAACACCAAAACCUUUCAACACUAUUCUGCUGCCAUAUUUUUUGCAGUGGUUCAAUCAAUGUUUCUUUUAAUCAUGCUUCAGCUUUUUUGUUUUCUUCUACUGAUGGCUUGGCAUAUUUCUACCUGAUAGCUACCUCUAUUAUGUGUUAAAAUUAUCUUUGUGCCAGAUUCACUAAUUAGAAAAAAGACUGAAAGACCAAUUUGAGGUCUGAAGCAUGUUGGCUCUUGGAUACAGCCCAAGGUUAGUACUAAAGCAGAAUUUUUUAUUUUUUCUCCAGUUAUGCGCAAAUUCUUAUGAAACUAAUUUACUUCAACAGGUUAUUAUUUUAUAUAUUGAGUGUUAUAUGUCUCUUGCAAUGGAAAAAAAAUAAUCUGAGGAGGAGGAUGAUACACCAGAAAUUCAAUAUUAUAAAGGAGAGAAGCACCUAUUUGAGAAAGGUAGAUUACAACUAGGACAGUUGCGGCUCUAAAAUUUAUAAAAUUCCCCUAAAGUCAUUUUGGUACUUUACUUUCUACUAAAAUUUGAAUGGCAUUUUGUGCUAUUAUCUUUUGACUAUCCUACUAAGUUUUAGAUAUUAAAUAACGUGUUUAAAAAAAGUAUAUAUUUCUUUUUUGGAACACUUAAAUUAAUUCAUUUAAAAUUGGAGGGUCAUCCUUGCAGAAAUAAGGAGAAUGGAAUAUUCUACAUGGAAACAUCUUCUAAGAGUGCAGAGAACAUUCUUCUCUAUGAAAUAGGCAUGUUCUGAAUGUCUUUAAAAUACUUUGUCUGAAAUGUAGUUAUAUUAAACCAAUCAAAUUCAAGUUUUUGGAAUAUAUAGCAUACAAAUUGGAUCCAUGUGUAUAUGUCCUAAUUUGAUAUUAAUAGGUACUUGGAUGUUGUUUGGAACGAACCAGGAAAACGUCCCACCUUGAUCGGAGGUAUAAUUCAUGCCAUCUCUCAUUUAUAAUUAACUACAUGUUUCUGCAUUAUUGUCAUGAUUAGAAUUUUGAUUAACUAUUGAUCUACCAACUACGCAGGUUCAACUAUAUGGCUAUAUCAGAAUGUCACCCUUUUCUUUUAAUCAUUUUUGGGUCCUGAACCCUCCAAUUUUCACCCUUUUUUCUCCAUCUUGAAUAAAAUGUACUAACUUAAUUUCCUUAACUUAUUUUCCUUUCCAUUGUGUUAACAGGUGAAGUGCUUCUUAUUGUCCUCUUCCGCUCCGGUAAGUCCUCAAUUUUUUUCUUCAUGUAUUUCCACUUCGACAUCUGAAGACUGAGCUUCUUUCAGUUUCAUGUUUUGAUUUCGGCCUAUUGUUUUCUCACUCAUGCUUCCUUUCAAUUUGUGCUUCUAUUGUCCUCUCUUGGUAAAAUCAUCUUUUAAUUUCAUUUUGUGUGACUUUUCAGUUCGACCCUUUGUUUUUACAAGCAAAAUGUUUGUAUUUAUCAUACACAAUUACACAUAUUCUUAUUGUAGUUACAGUCGUUACAUUUCUCCCUUUUUUUCAUUUUAAAUAUGGUGUACUGAUUACUCUAAAUUUUCUCUUUAUGUUAACAGGUGAAGUGCUUCGUGGUCCUCUUCCGCUGCUGGGAAGAAUUCUUAAUUAUUUGUCUUCUUCGUGUAUUUUCACUUCGACAUCUGAAAGCUUUUGUUGCAUGUUUUGAUUUAGGUGUUUUCCGAAGAAUUUUCGCCCGAAAGUUUUUGGAUUUUGAUUUUAAAACCGCUUUAUUGUUGUGAAAAUUGAACAUCGUUUAGUGUGUAGUUGAUGUAUAGAAGUUGAGUAUUCAUUUACACUCAUAUUUCUCUUUCAUCUCAUUUCCACACAUUUUUCUUCUUAUAUCUCUCUUCUAUUCUUAUCAUAUCAUCUAUCAUAUCUCUCAUUUCUUCUUUAUCCCACAAGGUGGAGGUGAAUAUUUCAUUUGUGAACAAAACAUUUUUGUCAGAAACGGGAAAGAAUAAUUUGAUGAUUCUUCUUCUAAGUGUUGCACAGUGCACACCAUGAAAUGGAAUAAAUAUGAAUUAAAAUGUGUUCCCUUCCUGUAGCUAUGUAAUAAUGUAAUUUUUUUAUCUUUGUUCCCUUCCUUCAACAUCUUGAGACACAUCACUAGGUAGCCAUUAUAGCUCACCUAAAUUUAAUCUAUAGAGCCUUUGUUCUUCAGAAUAUCCACAUUAAUUGGAGUGUGGAUAUUAUAUUUAGGUACUUCAUUUUGAAUUUUGAAGUUCUCAUCUUGGUUCUAGCAUUCUACAUUUUCACGCAUAGAAAGUGUCUAUAUGUAAAUGCAAACUCUUACAGUUUCAAUAUCGUCACACAAGAAAAUCCGGAUUUUGGACGUUUACUGAGGUAAUUUGCAUUUGAGACUAAAUUUUGAAUUAAACAUAAUUAUUAAUUACAAUGAAAAAAACACGUCCAAUGAACUGUUCACGACACACACAAAAAUAGUUUAAUCAAUUGGACAAAAACUUUACCACUCUGAAAAUUCUAUUUACAUGUGCUUACUAAAAUAGAAGUUAUAAAAUAAAAUAAAUAUUCUAAAUGUGGUACUUCAAGGAGACUUUAGGCAAAUUUUUAACAGUUGUGUAUAAAGGUAGAAUGCAGGAUAUUAUCCAUGCCAUUAUCAAUGUCUCUUAUCUUUGAGAUCAUUGUCAGGUACUUUCACAUUUAUCCUUAUAAUGUCAGUUUUCAAUUUAAUCAAUCAUUACAAAACCAAAUAAAAAUUAACCCAUUAGAACAUAUAUUUCUAACAAUAAUAUAAUUUAAUAAAAUAUUUUAUGCUUCACAAAUUUGACCCAAAAAAAUCUAAAAUGUUUACUGUAAACUAUUAACGCCAACUAUAAUAAUAGUUCUUAUUUUUGGAACAUGAGUAGGCACUUUAAUUGACAAAAAAUAUGAGACUAAACCGGAAGAUUAGAUGCAGAGGUUGCUGAGUAAGAUGAAAAUGCAGGUAAGCACAUAUAAGAUGAAAAUGCCCUGAACAUCCCUCGAGAAUUUUUUAUUCCACAUACAAGUGAUCCAAUGACUUCUAUAGUUAAGUCUACUUAUCCAUCUUUCCUUGAAAACUACAAAGAUCCACAAUUGUCAACAUUGUGCUAUUUUAACUCCUACAAAUGAGAUCGUUGAUAAUUUGAAUAAAUACAUGAUGUCAUUGUUGCUUGAAGAAGAGAAAACUUAUUUGACUGACGAUAUGUAUUCAUACAACAAUUGUGACAGCCAAUAUGAUAUCCACACACCAGAGUUUUUAAACACAAUACACUCUUCCGGUUUGUCUAAUUGUCAAUUAAGGUUAAAAAUUGGUGCUUCAAUAAUGCUUAUAAGAACAUAGACCAAUCAACUGAAAUGUGUAAUGAUACACGUUUGAUUAUUACUCGAAUGAGGACAUAUGUUUGGAAGCAAAGGUUAUCUCUAGAGCAAAUGCCAGACAAAGAGUGUCUGUACCAAGAUUAACAUUAACUUCAUCAGAUAGUAUAAUUCCUUUUAAAUUUCAAAGUACACAAUUUCCUUUAGCAUUCUCUUUUUCCAUGAUAAUAAACAAAAGUUAAGGACAAUCAUUAAAAAAGUGGGGUUAUAUUUUCCAAAUAAGUGUUUUCACAUGACCAAUUAUAUGUAGCAUUCUCCAAAGCCACGCACCGUAAAGAUUAAGAAUCUCUAUUUGCGAUAGUGAUGACAACAAUAUUCAUAGAACUUCAAAUGUAAUUUACAAAUAAGUCUUUCACAGUUUUAUAUGAAGAAGAUCUUUUUACAGGAAAUGUACAACGAUACACUCUCAGCUUUAUUCUCAUUGUAAUUAAUUCAAUUGCAAAAAACUUUCGUGGCUAUUUUUAGUAAAUAUAUGUUACUUUAACUCCAUGCAAUAAAUUAUUCAAUAGAUAUAAAAAUAUCAUCAAUUGAGCAUUUAGUAAAACAAAUACAAAAGAUAAACAUAAAAUAGCAACUCAAAAAAAAACAAACUAUAAGUACAGAAAAAUUACAAAUUUUUGAUUUCAUAUAUCUAAAAUAAAUUUAGUUUGUUUAAUCCAUAAAAUAUCUCUAAAAAACAAGCAAGUUAAAAGAAACACACAAAAAUGAAUAUCCCCGUGCAUCGCACGGGUAAAAGUACUAGUUUAAAAUACUAGGGAAAGAUACAUGUAUUUAUAGUUCAUCAAAAUCAAGAUUAAUAUUGAAAACAUAACUAUUUGAUUGAACUAACAUCAUUCAGCUUAAAAAUUAUUUUGAGCUUAUUUCUCCUCAAAUUAGCUUACGAAUAAACGGCUGUUGUCAUAAGUGCUCAAUUAAACUUUUCACCCAAAAUGCACCCAAAAUUUUAAUAGUGAAAGCUAACAUACAAUGUACCAUGAGUUCCGAAUUACACUGCAACACCAUUAUCCAGGAGUAAGCAAGAGCUAAAUUGGCCAAACAUGAAAACCAUUACUUAUGAGCCAAACCUGAGUGGGCAUUUUAUACUCCCAGGUAAUUAAGAAGCAAAAACAAAAACAAAUAAUAAACAUCCAACUUCCAAGGGAUCUGAAGCCCCUUAUAAAGCAUCACAUAGAACAUUGAGUUAUAUAGUAAUAUAUCAUCAUAAUCUCCGCCAGACAUGGGGCGCUUCUUAACAAGGUAAAACUUCAUGGCUUGCUUAUUGAAAAGUAACUUGGUUGCCAAGAAAUAAACAUAAUUGACCUCACUGUGUCCACCAAUGGAGGAAGUCCUUGCGCCUAUUGAUCUUCUUUUGCAGCUGAAGGAGUCCAUACAGCAGAGCCUCAGCAGUUGGAGGACAGCCCGGAACAUAUAUAUCAACAGGAACAAUCCUGUCACAUCCCCUUACAACAGAGUAAGAGUAGUGGUAGUAUCCUCCACCGUUAGCACAGCUUCCCAUUGAGAUGACCCACCUAGGCUCAGGCAUUUGGUCAUAAACCCUGCAAAAAAAAUUCAGCAUUAAGUAGAAAGCUAAUGUUAAUUAACAUAAUUGGUAAGUCCAAGACAGAACAUGAAUCAAGUUCCAAUAUUGGAAAUUCGGAAGCUCAGGGGAUGGGGAGAUAGAAAGAGCACAUUAAAAUCAAUUACUAAUGUUUUGUGAUCAUCUUAUGUGGAAAAUUCCUAACACCAAGAAAAUGAGGUAUCACAAUAGACAUAACUGCUGGCAUUAUGAGAUAUGUUAAUCACGAUUGUAAAGAGUAAUUAGAAAAGGAAUGCACUCAUGUUAUACAAAAAUUUAACGUAGCGUUUCAUGUCAAGAUUGAUGAAUGUUUAGAGGAAUGGAUAUAAAUUUUUCAUACAACAAGGUCAUGUGAAAUCUCAACAUAAGCAUGCAUUCUCAAAUAAUUUAGACUUCCAAAGACCAACAAAUUCUACAAUUGAAAUUAAAUAUCAAAAUAAAAGUUGUUGAGCCCUCCAAAUGGAACAGCAGGCUGAAUAAAGUUCAGUAUCAAAACUUAUUAAUGAUAUAUUGAUAGCUAAAGGUGAGCAACCUAGAAUUUUGUAAUGAAGAAUUGUACAAGAACUAAAAAGAGUGACAUGCUUCAUACUCUUCUACUGUAACACCUGGACCCGUUUGAAAACUCAUAGUGUUGGUGGAGUGGAAUGGAGGGGAGGGGAGAUAUUUUUUUAAUCUAUAUUCUUUGGUUCAAAUUUUAGAGGGGGGGGGGGGGAGAGUUUUGUAUUGCAUGCAAAAGUGGGGGAUUUAAAGGGAACAUAAUUCACAUGAGAAAAAUGUCCUUCCUCAUGUUUUGAAACUCAAAAUUAUAAUUUAAACAUAAGGGUAAUAAAAGUACAUUCAUUUUAAAAUCCUUCCUCUCCCAUCCUGAAACAAAAAAGAAAGGGGGUAUCUCUCCUCCCCUCAACCAAAUAUGAUAAGAAUUAAAAUAUCCCCUCUCCCUCCCCCUACCCUCAACUAAAGCCUGUCCCUCCAUUGAACCGAAGACACCCUUAUAUACAAACAGGGCAUACCUCAGAAUGUUCACAUCUCUCACAGCCAGCGUAGAGUGAGACAAUCAUUAUCCACAUAAGGACCUCUUUUGACAGGCAGUAUCAUUCAAUUAAAAAUGAUUUCAAGAACAACGUUCAAGCACAAAGAGAAAAUUCUGUUAAAAACUAGGUAAUUAGGUGCACGACAGGGAGAAAAGCAAGGAAUUGGAAAUCGGUGGGGGCAAUUGGUUUGGGAGGGAGUAUUCUACAACUUACACUCACAACGGGUAGGGGCAGUAACCUGAUUCUAAGUGAAAUGGAAUAAGAAAGAAAUGGAAGAAGGUGGACAUGGCAAGCAACAUUUUGAUUGAGGACUGGGAAGAUGGGAAGCAGCCCCCUCAAACACUACAGACUACAGUUUCUCUGUCAUUUUUCAAUUUCUGUUAGUGUUCAUCUUCAGUAUUUUGAAAUCCUUAUCAGAUACUGAUAUCAAGAGAAUGAGGUUUGUUCAAUAAAACGUAUUCUAGUUCCGGUUCCCUAUCAGGCUCCUAAAUGAUUGCAAUAUCAAACAAUACUUAAUCAAAACAAACGAAACUCACUAGCAUUUGCGCGAUUAAGCCGACAGGAUUAUUAGUUCUAUGACCUUUUUCCCCACAAAUUAGUCUCAGAAAUCCUCCCUCGAAUAAAGGUGCUAAUACACAAAAGAUACCAACCAUGAUUCUUCAUCAUCUAUAUAACAGCCUAAAAACCCCAUGAAAGCAUCGAUUCUUCCAAAGAAGGCCCAAUUAUCUGAUAUGACAUUCAUCCAAACACAAAUUUGUAACAAAAUCAGCAAAUUAGGGUUUCUACUGUUCUAUAUGAUUUAGAAUCUAGCGAAUAGAAAGAGCAAUUGAAAGGAAUCAAAUGAAGAAAACCCUAGAAAAGCAAAAAAGGGGCAAGGGAAGAGAGGAGUACUUGCGAAGAGCAGGGGCCAUCUUGUUGGUGAGAGUUCCAGCGACGAUCAUGCAAUCAGACUGACGAGGGCUAGGCCUGAAAAUGAUCCCGAAGCGAUCGAGAUCGUAGCGGGCGGCACCGGUGUGCAUCAUUUCGACGGCGCAGCAGGCGAGGCCGAAGGUCAUGGGCCAGAUGGAGCCGGUGCGAGCCCAAUUCAUGAGAUCGUCGACCUUGGAGAUGACGUACUCCACCGCCUUGGGGACGCCGGUGGGGGAGGAAGCCGAUGGAGGCGAUGGCGGAGCAUAGGGUGAGGGUGUGGGUGAGGAGAAGGAAGGGAGGGUUGUGUGAAGGGAAACCACCCGCUGAGGUGACACCAGGUGUGGGAAGCGUGAGGCGGUUCGACUCAGAAGAGCCAUCGUGGUUCGGUUGCAACCAGGUGGGUGGGUGAGGAUUGAAUCGCAGGAAUAGAACUUCGGUGGUGCCUCUCUUUCUCUCUCUAACGUUUUAAAUUUUAUGGCCAAGCCAAGUAAUGUACGUGGUGCUUGUAUAAAUCACAUGCUUAAUGUAUGUACCUACUUCCUUAUUUAGCACUAAGUGGUUUAAUGUUUGAUUUUUAACGAAAAAUUAUUCUUACGGCCAUCGGCGUGAGGACUUCUUGGCAGGGGCAUGUAUAAACAUUUUAGGCACUAAGGCGAAAAUGUUGAGUGAUUUUUUUUACAAUAAUGAUACUUGAAAUAUUAUAUAUCAAUUUUUUAUAUCAAGAAAAAAUGCGGAAUCAAAAUCCCUAAUGCUUACGCCUUACAUCACAACCAUAGGUCCCCAUUUAAAACACAAGACUUCACCCAGCCAAGCAAACCAAAAUACUUAACAGUAAAAAUCUCAACAAGUGCCAUAGAGCUUAAACCCAUAACCUAAUAAAGACAAACACAAAUAAAAAAAAACUAGAAAGGAUAAGAAACAGAUGGCAUAACAACACCUGACAUGUAAGUAGCUCCAACACAACCACUAGAUCACCUUUGCGGUAAAUCUUUCAACCAGAAAAAGUUGAAGUCAAAAGAAAAUCGUAACCUCAAUGCUCUUGACUAAACGCACACAAAAAGAAAGAUGGCCAACCCAAACUCUACUUCAAGAUAUACCACCUUCAUGUCUUGCAAAAGAAACUAAAAACCUAUAACCUGAAAAACUCAAACUGCCAACAACAGCCACCAAUGUCAGCCUCAACCCACAUGUUUUGUUGCCGUGAAGACACACCAACCCACCAUCAAAAGCAUCAUGAUAAAAAACCUGAAACCCUACAACAACAACAACAACAACAACAACAACAAACCUCAAAGCCACAAGAUCCACGACACCCAUGAAGCAUAAACGAGCAACGACGAUGAACAGAGCCAAGAGGCUAAGCCCUUGGCGACUCAAAUGAAGACGAGUAGCAAGAUCGACAAAUGGACCACAUCAACCCGAUCAAGGAGUGACAACAGAGAGGAGGAGGAACUAGGGGUUUCCACCGACAAAGGACGACCGCAGUUGUCGGAUUGGAAGCCAGAGGACAAAACAGACGUCCUUGAACAACAAAUGCCAAGAUCGUCAGAUCUCAAAGACAUCGGUCGGAGGCAAAUGAAAAGAAGAGGGAGCUAACGAAAAGAGAGGAUUAGAGGGGGUUGCAACCACGCAGGAAGGUGGUGCGACAGCCAUCCAAGGAACCCUAGAUCAUGACGUACUAUAGUUUUUUUUUUUGGAUAAAAGAAUUGCAAAAGAAAGAAAAAAAAAAUAGGAGAAAAAAAAACUACUGCCUCAUCAAGAAGUUGAAAAUAUACUAAGUUCUUUAAAAGAAUUUUUCCUCAUCUCUACUUGUAAAUUUAUCAAUCAAGUUAGCUAUUUGUAUUUUGCUAUAUUAAGUGUCUUUGAGUGUUUUAGAUGCUCACAAUAAAACUUCCCUCAAAACUAUUGUUACUCGUUCAUAUAACCCAUUAUAUAUUCAUACCUGUUUUUAACUCACUUGAGAUUUGAAUCUUAUUUUUCACAAUGGCUUAAUCGUUGUUGUUGUUGAAGCAUCUAAUAGGACCAACAUAAAAUAGAUUGAGAGGGGUAAAGUUUAAUUUGGAGCUUGACUUGUAAGAAACUAAGAAUUCUUAAGAUAUAUGCAUUCAACAAGCUAAUUUUGAUUUUGCUAGCUAGUUUAUGAUUUUUGAAUACCAAUCAUUCAACAAAGGAGAUGAUCUGGUUAUGUAGAAACGGUCUACAUAGAUUUAUAAAUGUUCGCCUAUAUAAGGGGGAAGGGAAGAGAGGAGUACGUACUUGCGAAGAGCCGGGGCCAUCUUGUUGGUGAGAGUGCCGGCGACGAUCAUGCAGUCAGACUGGCGAGGGCUAGGCCUGAAAAUGAUGCCAAAGCGAUCAAGAUCGUAGCGGGCGGCACCGGUGUGCAUCAUUUCAACGGCGCAGCAGGCGAGGCCGAAGGUCAUGGGCCAGAUGGAGCCAGUGCGAGCCCAGUUCAUGAGACUGUCAACCUUGGAGAUCACGUACUCCACCGCCUUGGGGACGCCGGUGGGGGAGGAAGCCGAAGGGGGUGGUGGCGGAGCAUAGGGUGUAGGUGUGGGUGUAGAGAGGGAAGGGAGGGUUGUGUGAAGGGAAACCACCCGUUGAGGUGACACCAGUUGUGGGAAGCGUGAGGAG
rnacentral:lncRNA from 1 species